AGGGCGGGGGAGGCGUGUGGCCCAGCCGCCCGCCCCUGUGGCUGCUACCGCUGCCAGGGGACUGCAGGGAGGCCGGGCUGAGUCAGCGCCACUGCCGCUGCUGCGUGUCCCUUUCUAAGGCCUCGGACCGCACCGCUUUCGCCCUGCGGCCCGGCUCGGUAGCCUGAUCAGUCGCGUUCCCGGCUGCGUCUCCAGUCACCGAGCGGGACGGCGGGAUGGCGGGGUCGAUCUGUGCAGACGCUGCUAGUGGUUCCGCAGUCGUCGCUGGGUCAGCUGUUUCAAGCGGCGGAUCUGCUCCUAUAGAUGUCCAGAUUGUUAGACGGAAAAUUAUAUUUCACUGUGGUCUAUUGGAGAUUUUGGAAACUUGGACUCUGAUGGAGGGUUUGAAGGAGACCAUCAGUUAUUGUGUGAUAUCAGACACCAUGGUGAUGUAAUGGAUUUACAGUUUUUUGACCAGGAAAGAAUUGUCGCUGCUUCAUCAACAGGAUGUGUAACAGUUUUCCUUCACCAUCCAAAUAACCAG
rnacentral:sRNA from 1 species